AAGCGGUGGAGCAUGUGGUUAAUUCGACGCAACGCGAAGAACCUUACCAGGGCUUGACAUCCCCUGACCGCGUAUGAAAGUACGUUUUCACCUCGGGUGACAGGGAGACAGGUGGUGCAUGGUUGUCGUCAGCUCGUGUCGUGAGAUGUUGGGUUAAGUCCCGCAACGAGCGCAACCCCUACGUUUAGUUGCUAACGCGUGAAGGCGAGCACUCUAGACGAACUGCCGUUGACAAAACGGAGGAAGGUGGGGAUGACGUCAAAUCAUCAUGCCCCUUAUGUUCUGGGCUACACACGUGCUACAAUGGCCGGUACAGACGGACGCAAAGCCGCGAGGUGGAGCAAAUCCUAGAAAGCCGGUCUCAGUUCGGAUUGCAGGCUGCAAUUCGCCUGCAUGAAGUCGGAAUCGCUAGUAAUCGCAGGUCAGCAUACUGCGGUGAAUACGUUCCCGGGCCUU
rnacentral:rRNA from 1 species